CCUACGGGUGGCAGCAGUGAGGAAUAUUGGUCAAUGGCCGGAAGGCUGAACCAGCCAAGCCGCGUGAAGGACGAAGGUGCCAAGCAUUGUAAACUUCUUUUGUCAAGGGACAAAAUCAGGCUCGAGAGCCUGACCGAAGGUACUUGAAGCAAAAGCAUCGGCUAACUCCGUGCCAGCAGCCGCGGUAAUACGGAGGAUGCGAGCGUUAUCCGGAUUUAUUGGGUUUAAAGGGUGCUUAGGCGGACUGUUAAGUCAUCGGUAAAAGCCCGGGGCUCAACCCCGGCGAGCCGUUGAAACUGGCUGGCUUGAGAUGUAGAGAGGUAUGCGGAAUGAGGAGUGUAGCGGUGAAAUGCUUAGAUAUUGCGCAGAACUCCGAUGGCGAAGGCAGCAUACCGGCGGCGAUCUGACGCUGAGGCACGAAAGCGUGGGUAUCGAACAGGAUUAGAUACCCUAGUAGUC
rnacentral:rRNA from 1 species